ensembl:miRNA
AGAGACUGGGGUGCUGGGCUCCCCUAGACUAGGACUCCAGUGCCCUCUUCUCC